rnacentral:rRNA from 1 species
UACGGAGGGUGCAAGCGUUAUCCGGAUUCACUGGGUUUAAAGGGUGCGUAGGUGGGCAGGUAAGUCAGUGGUGAAAUCUCCGAGCUUAACUUGGAAACUGCCGUUGAUACUAUCUGCCUUGAAUAUUGUGGAGGUGAGCGGAAUAUGUCAUGUAGCGGUGAAAUGCUUAGAUAUGACAUAGAACACCAAUUGCGAAGGCAGCUCGCUACGCAUAUAUUGACACUGAGGCACGAAAGCGUGGGGAUCAAACAGG